rnacentral:rRNA from 1 species
AGUCGAACGAGAGAUGAGGAGCUUGCUUUUCAAAUCGAGUGGCGAACGGGUGAGUAACGCGUGAGGAACCUGCCUCAAAGAGGGGGACAACAGUUGGAAACGACUACUAAUACCGCAUAAGCCCACGGCUCGGCAUCGAGCAGGGGGAAAAGGAGUGAUCCGCUUUGAGAUGGCCUCGCGUCCGAUUAGCUAGUUGGUGAGGUAAUGGCCCACCAAGGCGACGAUCGGUAGCCGGACUGAGAGGUUGAACGGCCACAUUGGGACUGAGACACGGCCCAGACUCCUACGGGAGGCAGCAGUGGGGAAUAUUGCACAAUGGGGGAAACCCUGAUGCAGCGACGCCGCGUGGAGGAAGAAGGUCUUCGGAUUGUAAACUCCUGUUGUUGAGGAAGAUAAUGACGGUACUCAACAAGGAAGUGACGGCUAACUACGUGCCAGCAGCCGCGGUAAAACGUAGGUCACAAGCGUUGUCCGGAAUUACUGGGUGUAAAGGGAGCGCAGGCGGGAGAACAAGUUGGAAGUGAAAUCCAUGGGCUCAACCCAUGAACUGCUUUCAAAACUGUUUUUCUUGAGUAGUGCAGAGGUGGGCGGAAUUCCCGGUGUAGCGGUGGAAUGCGUAGAUAUCGGGAGGAACACCAGUGGCGAAGGCGGCCUACUGGGCACCAACUGACGCUGAGGCUCGAAAGUGUGGGUAGCAAACAGGAUUAGAUACCCUGGUAGUCCACACCGUAAACGAUGAUUACUAGGUGUUGGAGGAUUGACCCCUUCAGUGCCGCAGUUAACACAAUAAGUAAUCCACCUGGGGAGUACGACCGCAAGGUUGAAACUCAAAGGAAUUGACGGGGGCCCGCACAA